GACAGAGGGUGCAAACGUUGUUCGGAUUUACUGGGCGUAAAGCGCGUGUAGGCGGCUUUGCAAGUCGGAUGUGAAAUCCCACGGCUCAACCGUGGAAGUGCAUCCGAAACUGCAUCGCUGGAGUCUCGGAGAGGAAGGUGGAAUACCCGGUGGAGCGGUGAAAUGCGUAGAGAUCGGGUGGAACACCAGUGGCGAAGGCGGCAUCCUGGCCCUGACCUGACGCUGAGGCGCGAGAGCGUGGGGAGCAAACGGG
rnacentral:rRNA from 1 species